GAGAGCGAUGCUGGGCUGACCCGAGUUAAAAGAGAUCCAGUGCAAAGCGGUGGCAAGAGGGCAGGCAGGUGCCAUACUGAAAUCCUUCCCAGGAGUCAGAGCGUGAAACAGGUGCUGUGACCAGAGAGCUGUAGCACAAGAGAAACAAGUGAGUUCUGCAGCUGAAUGACAGCAUGGCAGCAGCACCUGGACCACAAGACACUUUUCCCAGACGUCGCAGGAAGAGCUUUGGAUUUG